GGAGCGGUGAUGACCCCAACAUGCCAUCUGAGUCUUUGUGCUGAAAUCCAGAGGCUGUUUCUGAGCUA